UACGAAGGGGGCUAGCGUUGCUCGGAAUCACUGGGCGUAAAGCGCACGUAGGCGGGUCGCUGAGUCGGGGGUGAAAUCCUGGAGCUUAACUCCAGAACUGCCUUCGAUACUGGCGGCCUUAGAGUCCGGGAGAGGUGGGUGGAACUCCGAGUGUAGAGGUGAAAUUCGUAGAUAUUCGGAAGAACACCAGUGGCGAAGGCGGCUCACUGGCCCGGUACUGACGCUGAGGUGCGAAAGCGUGGGGAGCAAACAGG
rnacentral:rRNA from 1 species